ACUCCAUGUGUUGGACACUGCCUCAAAAGGGUCUUAAAUCUCUCCCAUGCUUCAUACAAUUUCUCGCCUUGCUCUUGGACGAAAUUAUGAAUUUCUCGUCGGAUUCU
rfam:Erythranthe guttata cultivar DTN x IM62 scaffold_86_contig_24, whole genome shotgun sequence.